rnacentral:rRNA from 1 species
UACGUAGGGUGCGAGCGUUGUCCGGAAUUAUUGGGCGUAAAGGGCUCGUAGGCGGUCUGUUGCGUCGGGAGUGAAAACUCAGGGCUUAACCCCGAGCCUGCUUCCGAUACGGGCAGACUAGAGGUAUGCAGGGGAGAACGGAAUUCCUGGUGUAGCGGUGAAAUGCGCAGAUAUCAGGAGGAACACCGGUGGCGAAGGCGGUUCUCUGGGCAUUACCUGACGCUGAGGAGCGAAAGUGUGGGGAGCGAACAGG